ACGAAGGGUGCAAGCGUUACUCGGAAUUACUGGGCGUAAAGCGUGCGUAGGUGGUUCGUUAAGUCUGAUGUGAAAGCCCUGGGCUCAACCUGGGAAUUGCAUUGGAUACUGGCGGGCUAGAGUGCGGUAGAGGAUGGCGGAAUUCCCGGUGUAGCAGUGAAAUGCGUAGAGAUCGGGAGGAACAUCUGUGGCGAAGGCGGCCAUCUGGACCAGCACUGACACUGAUGCGCGAAAGCUAGGGGAGCGAACGGGA
rnacentral:rRNA from 1 species